CCAAAUGUUGAAUUAAAUUUGUGUCGUGUUGCUGAAGAUUAACACAUGAUUUAUUACAUUUUUUUUUAAAGAUCAUUGACUUCAAUGAAUACAAUAUUUAAGAAAAAAAACCAGGGUGUGUUCAGUAAUAAUAGAACAAAUGCUGUGAAAAAAAUUAAAAAAUAUAGUUGAGAUCAAUGUACUGUGUAUGAAUGGAAGAUAUUUUAUUUUGAAACUGAGGCCCACAAAGAC
rnacentral:lncRNA from 1 species